rnacentral:piRNA from 1 species
UCCAUGGUAACGACACAAGGCAAAGCUGGG